rnacentral:rRNA from 1 species
GAUGAACGCUGGCGGCGUGCUUAACACAUGCAAGUCGAACGGUGAAGGCGGAGCUUGCUCUGCUGGACCAGUGGCGAACGGGUGAGUAACACGUGAGCAAUCUGCCCCUGACUCUGGGAUAACCGCUGGAAACUGCGUCUAAUACUGGAUACGAGCUGCGACGGCAUCUUCAGCAGCUGAAAAGAAUGUCGGUCAGGGAUGAGCUCGCGGCCUAUCAGCUUGUUGGUGAGGUAAUGGCUCACCAAGGCGUCGACGGGUAGCCGGCCUGAGAGGGUGACCGGCCACACUGGGACUGAGACACGGCCCAGACUCCUACGGGAGGCAGCAGUGGGGAAUAUUGCACAAUGGGCGAAAGCCUGAUGCAGCAACGCCGCGUGAGGGACGACGGCCUUCGGGUUGUAAACCUCUUUUAGCAGGGAAGAAGCGAGAGUGACGGUACCUGCUGAAAAAGCGCCGGCUAACUACGUG